rnacentral:lncRNA from 1 species
UGUAGAGAUGCUCGAUUCGUAUCAAACAAAUCGUAUAAGCCGAGAAUCUAUCGCGGACUUUAAAUGGGUACGAAUCAGGUUAAAAUCUUGACAGAUAAAUCGAUAGCCGGCUAGUCACCGCAUAAAUCUUAAAACCGAAAGUAAACUUAGGUCUUGCCCUAAACCCAGCGCACUGGUCUCUAACAUCUCAAGGUAUGAUAUCGAAAAGAUACGAGAUCCUAAAACCAUGCCUCUAUGUUUAUGUUCAACAUCUUCAGAUAUCCCGCGAAAUCUAGAUCUUGCGGAAAAACUCUCGAAACAGAUCACAAACAAAGCAUUUCACAUCGAAGAAGGAUAUGAGACGACAACUCAUCAUCUUCCUUCCACACCAUAUGCUAACUCACGAAAAACACAAAUUGAUCAUCUUUUCAUAAAAAGAAAGUCGCCAAAACGGCAGAGAAUAAAGCCACAAACGGCCAGUCCCGAAACAUGAAAUAAAGCCAUUUAAGGCCGAAACAUCAACACAAAAAAAAAUAUCUCUCACAAGAGAUCGAAACCAUAGUCAUCUUCUGAACUCAAGCCUCCUCUUCACCCAUCGCUUCGUCCAAGCUUGGAACCGCGGCGCCUCCGAUUUCUCUGACCACGGGAUCUUUCCUCUAUGGGUCUUCUGAAUACGUCGGAAGGAAGCACGCGGAUUUCAGGUCAGCUAGGACGAGAUCGAAAUCUCCAUCCACGGCUACCAAGUCUCCCUUGCA